AACGAACGCUGGCGGCAUGCCUAACACAUGCAAGUCGAACGAGACCUUCGGGUCUAGUGGCGCACGGGUGCGUAACGCGUGGGAACCUGCCCUUAGGUUCGGAAUAACUCCCCGAAAGGGGUGCUAAUACCGGAUAAUGUCUUCGGACCAAAGAUUUAUCGCCUUUGGAUGGGCCCGCGUUGGAUUAGCUAGUUGGUAGGGUAAAAGCCUACCAAGGCGACGAUCCAUAGCUGGUCUGAGAGGAUGAUCAGCCACACUGGGACUGCGACACGGCCCAGACUCCUCCGGGAGGCAGCAGUGGGGAAUAUUGGACAAUGGGCGAAUGCCUGAUCCAGCAAUGCCGCGUGAGUGAUGAAGGCCUUAGGGUUGUAAAGCUCUUUUACCCGGGAUGAUAAUGACAGUACCGGGAGAAUAAGCUCCGGCUAACUCCGU
rnacentral:rRNA from 1 species